rnacentral:rRNA from 1 species
UAUUAUUUAAAAUGUAAUUAUUAAUACUUAAGUAGUAAUAGUUAUGUUCUUGAAACUUAAAAAAUUUGGCGGUAUUUUAGUCUAUCCAGAGGAACCUGUUUUGUAAUCGAUAAUCCACGAUGGACCUUACUUAAAUUUGUAAUCAGUUUAUAUACCGUCGUUAUCAGAAUAUUUUAUAAGAAUAAUAAUAUUCAAUAAUUUUUAUUAAAAUUUAUAUCAGAUCAAGGUGUAGCUUAUAUUUAAGUAAUAAUGGGUUACAAUAAAUUUAUUUAAACGAAUAAAAUUAUGAAAAAAUUUUUGAAGGUGGAUUUGGUAGUAAAAUUAUAAAGAUUAAUAAUUUGAUUUUAGCUCUAAAAUAUGUACACAUCGCCCGUCGCUCUUAUUAUUAAGGUAAGAUAAGUCGUAACAUAGUAGAUGUACUGGAAAGUGUAUCUAGAAUGA